UUUCAUUGGUGCAGGCUGGCGGCUCCGCCAGACAUUGGAGGGACCUUGAGUUGCUGACUAUUACAGAAUUUGCAGUCUGGCUCUGCCGCAGAAGACUUUGGUUUAAAGCCAUCACGCAUCAGAAUUAGCUCAUUGUAAAGAAUAUACAGCACACAGUCUAUUAGAGUCCCAGCCUUGGAGAGGAAUGCGCAUUCCAAGGCUGGGCUCCUUUUUUUAGGAGUGCAGUGAUUUUUUAAAUGACUUCUAUUUGUCCCUUUUUACACCAGUCAUAUUGUAUUGCACGUGUAGAGAAGCAAGCAAGUGGAAGGGAUCAGAGGCUUUUUGUCUGCAAGUUGUGCUGCUUUUGGUGGCUGGAGGGACUGCAGUUCCAACACCCAUGCAGAAAAAAAAAAUAAUGGAUGAAUUCAAGCUCCCCUCCCAAGCAGGGACAGAAGGGCACCAAAAAGCUUCAUUCCUGUCUCCUGGUGAAGACCAUCUACCAGAAAACAAAAAUGAUGACCUCUGAAUUAUUCCUGAAUCAUGUAUCUUCCAUUUGUAUUGAUUUUGUCUGUGGGUAUAGAUGAGUUUGUAAAAAAUAUGGGUUCCUUUUUUUUUUUUUUUUUUUUUAAAUAUAGUAAGUUAGGCAUAUUUGGGACUCUGAGCCUUUGUGAUGUCUAUUUUGCAGUGGUCAGAUGAAACAAAAAGCAAAUCCAAACCGUUCAGACAGACUUGAGC